AGGCUUGUAUAUUAAACCUGUCUAUUCAACUGUCACUGGGUUUGGCGGUCAAUCAAGUAAGGUUCAAGGUCGAGCGUCGUUCACAAUUCGUUCUCACGCUGACACUACAUUUUCGUUUGCUGUUGAUGCAUUGGUAGUUGAAAAAAUACUUGACAGAUUACCAUCUCGUGAAGUUGAUGUAAGUUGUCCUACUUGAAAUCAUUGAAAUUGGUGGAUGAUAAAUUUUUCAUCCCUGGAAAAUUGGAUGGUAUUUUGGGUGCCAAAUUCUUUCCCAAUCUUAUCAAUAAUUACCAAUCUCAUCAAGAGGUAGGUUCAGUCAAAUUAGUUGACAGUAAACUGGUUUUAUUGUUAUGGGUCGAGCCCCAGUUUUGAACUCGUCACAAAAUAAGCAAUUCAAUAAUUGUUUGCUCGUCUCUAGUCCACCUUUUAAUGACCUAGUACAGAGGUUUUGGGAGGUUGAAGAUUGUCCUAAAUCGGGGAAUGAUCUUAGACCUGCCGAGUUGGAUUGUGAAAAUAAAUUAUGAUGCAAGCGCUAAAACUACAACUGGUUUGUCAUUGAAUUCGAUUCUCCAUGCUGGUCAGAAGUUACAGACAAACAUUUUCGUGUUGCUAUUGAAUUUUUGUCUUUUUGCAAUAAAUUGGAGUGACAGGUGAUUUGAAACAGAUGUAUCGUCAAAUAUUUGUGAGUGAAUCUUGUCAUGAAUUUCAGCAGGUGUUAUGGAGAUUUUCGGUAGACGAUCCUGUUGAAACCUAUGAAAUAAAUUGUGUCAUAUUUGGUAUCACUUCCUCUCCGUACUUGGCUUUGAGAACUAUCCAUGAGUUGGUUGAGAGGGAAAGCGAUAAUUUUCCGGAAGCUAAAGCUCGCAUUCCUAUUCCUACAGAUAUGUUCAUGGACAAUUUGGUAACGUCUGUCCCUUCUGUAAGUGACACGAAAAAAUUGUGUAGUCAGGCCAAAGAGCUGUUUAAAGCUGGUGGAUUUGAAUUGACUAAGUUUGCGUCGAAUUCGGAGGAGCUGAUGACAUGUCUCAAUGAUAGUGAAAGGUCCUUGUUGUCCAAAGAAUUCAAUAUCGAAAAUUCAUUAGCCAUAUUAGGUAUAGAGUGGCAACCAUUUUCCGAUUCGUUUCGUUUUUUCGUCUCACAGGGUCACUCUAUUGCCACAAAACAGAAUAUAUUAUCCGCUGUGGUGCGAAUCUAUGAUCCUCUAGGACUAGUGGCUCCUCUCACAUUGUUUUUGAAAUGUCUUAUAAAAGAAUUAUGGCAUAUUGGUUCAGAUUAGGAUGAAAAACCGCCUGAUUCUAUUUCAUCUCAGUGGGAGAUAUGUCAAACAGAAUUUCAAUCUUUGUUGAAUUUGUCCAUUCCUUGUCACUUAGGAGUAUUUGUUGGUUCCAAGAUUACAUUAAUUUGUUUUUGCGAUGCAAGUCAGUCUGGCUAUGGAGCUGUGAUCUAUUUGAAAUCACAGGAAGAAAAAUCCCGCCGAUUGUUUAUUGCGUGGUCUUAAACCAAUGGAUCUCAUUAAUCACGAGACAUGGUGGACAGGACCCCACUGGUUGACUAUGGAGGAAAAUCACUGGCCUGUAAAAUUUGAAAUUGAAGAAAUAGAGUGUCCACCUGAAAUGAAAUCUUCAAAUGUUGUCACGGUUGUUCAAUCUGAAAGUGUUUCAGAUAAUGUAAUAUAUAAUUUGAUUGAGAAAUGCUCUGACUAUCAACGUUUGCUUCGUAUCAUGAUACUAGUAUUGAAGGCAGUGCAAAUAUUGCCAAAAGCAGGUGAACUGGAAUUCGAUGCAGCGGAGAGAUAUUUGUGUAGAGUCGUACAGAGAAUUCAUUUUUCACAUGAGCUCGUUCAACUAAAAAAGGGUAAAGAUUGUGCCCCCAAAUUUCAGCAUUUGUCACCAUUUAUAGACAAGGAGUUAAUUCGAGUUGGUGGUUGUUUGCCGAACUCAGACAUGGAUUUUGACAGCUGUCACCCUAUUGUCUUGCCUAAGAGUGAUCCUUUCAUCACCCUUCUUGUCGAUCAUUAUCAUCAAAAAAAUUGUCAUGCUGGUCCUCGUCUAUUAAUGUCGUUAAUAAGACAGAGGUUCUGGAUAUUUUCUGCUUGUGUGGUCAUUCAGAGUCGUAUUCAAAAAUGCAAUAGGUGUUUCCGAUGUCGGCCUAGCGUAACACCUCCCAAAAUGGGUGAUUUGCCUGCAUGCAGGGUACUCCAGAGUAAACCGUUUGGACAGUGUGGUGUUGAUUACAGUGGGCCUGUACGCAUCACAAUGGCUCAAUGCAGAAAUCCACUCAUCCUCAAAGCAUACAUUUGUCUAUUUGUUUGUAUGUCAACAAAGGCUGUGCACAUAGAAUUGGUUUCUGACUUAUCUACACUGAUGUUUCUUUCAGCAUUUCGCCUAUUUUUAUCUCGACACGGACCUUGCCGUGUAAUUUAUUCCGAUAAUGGUACAAAUUUUGUUGGUGUGCAUGCACAGCUGGUACAGUUAGCGAAAUUAUUGGAUUCGUUGGAAUUUCAAAAUACAAUUACUAAUGAGCUGGCUGAUUAUCAAGUGGAUUGGAAAUUCAUUCCCGCUGCUUCCCCAAAUUUCGGUGGAAUUUGGGAGGCCAACAUAAAAUCGGUCAAGUCGCAUUUGAUAAAAGUGAUUGGCGAUCAACUAUUGACCUAUGAGGAGAUGAAUACUGUGUUGGUUCAAGUGGAGGCGGUGUUGAACUCUCGGCCGUUGUGCCCUUUGAGUGAGGAUCCGAACGAACCUCUCACAUUAACUCCGGCUCAUUUUUUGUAGCUGACACUGUUGACGGCUUUUCCAAUGAAGGAUGUGACCGAUAUUCCCGUCAAUCGUCUCACUCAUUACGAACUCAUCGACCAGCUUGUUCAAUCGUUUUGGAAUAGGUGGAGAAAGGAGUAUCUCCAUGAAUUACAAGUACGUGGAAAGUGGUCCAAGUCAUCACCUCCUCUCACUGUUGGAACGGUUGUGAUAGUGGAUCAGCCUAAUCUACCCCCAUUGAAGUGGCCUCUAGGAAUCAUUGAGGAAGUGUUUCCUGGAGCCGAUGGUGUCAUAUGUGUGGCAGUAGUACGUUUAGCUACUGGUCAUUUCAAACGUCCUGCCACCAAAUUGUUUCCAUUGCCCACACAAUAAUUCUUAGGAUAAGAAUUAUUGUUCGUUUUGUUGUGUUAGCAUUUUUUCUUUUGUUGUCUUAAUUUUCUUUCGGUUUGUUUUGUUUUGUCUAGUUUUGGCCAAAGUUGUGGCUGAAAACUACGGUUCAGGGUGGCGGGAAUGGUGACGCCCUUUAGCGUAUUUAGAUUAAGUCUAGUUUAAAUUAGUUUUAAGUCUAGCGGUAGUUGUAAUGGCGAGGCCGGCAGCUGCUGUGCCCUAGCAGAUAAGUUAGUAUUUAGAUUAUUCUAUCGCAUAAUCAUCAGUUGAGGUUGUCGGUUCGGUUCAGGAUUGUUGCUGUUUUUUUCGAUUGUUGCCGUUGAAAUUCAAUUUUACAUGUUCGUCGUUGUGUUAGAAUUAUUAUCAAUAUAUUAACUGUCCCAAGUUGGGGAAAAGUACAGUUUUUCCUUGUUAUUUGUGAAUAUAUAAAUUGAAAUAUUCAACUAGUGCGAUCGGACUUUGAAUUGUACAGCAGUUUAAAGUAAUAGUCAAUAUAGUAAAGUUAUCUUCCAAGCAAUUUUCGGACUGAGCAGUAAUUAAAUUGAUGCCAGAAUUAACAUACAUCAGAUAGGGGUAGCAGAUGUACAAGAGAGGCCAACACCUUUUCCCGACUCCGUCUUCUUCUGCCACAAACCUAAUUCCAAUUCCUGGAUUAAGUUGGUAUUUAGUAUUUGAAGAAAACUAUGUGCUGGUCUUAUCAGUCUGGGGGGACUGAUAUCGAAAAUCAUUAGGCUACCAUUUACAAGUAUGAGCCAUGGCUUUGUUAAACCUGGUACUGAGAAGAUUGGGUUUCAAAUUUAAGAUGCACAACCGGUGGAGGGCAGAACCUCAAGGCUCACAAGUUUGUGAGCAGUGGCGAGGAGGAGAAGGCUGCUCAGCCCUCCUGGGCGGGGUGGGGGAAGGGUCGCCCCGACGCUCCUCACCACUACUUGUAAUGUGGUGGGGAAAGGGGAACCCGCUCCCCCAUCCCAACGGAUCCUAGGUGGGGGGCGCCUCCAUAGAAGCACAGACGGUCAGUUGAAACAUUAUUCUGAAAUAAUGUUCAUUAAUUGGUUGACACUAGUUGUUUGCAACUAUCACAAACGAAUUGCUCAUAAGACAACCGUCAUUAACAGUAGCAUUUCACCGUUAAAUUUGACAAAGUGCUUGUGAACCCGGGCCCAUGAAUAGACGACCUAUACAUACAACAGGGUUCGCUGAUGACAUACCAGUCCCUGAUUUACAAGGAUGCGUAUGCCGUGGAUGGACUCUGCGGUCGCAUGUUUGUAUUUGUGCAGCGUGGCGAAUACGUGUUGCAAACUCUUGUCAAAAAUCAAAAUGUGUGGAAAAUUCCAGUGUCCUGCUCCACCAAGGUCAUCUUUGGCGGCUAAGAAGACGUUUGAUGAAUCUGGACAUUAUGUAUGACGACGAAAAUCCCCAUUGGGUGAGAAGUGGACAGAUGAAGUGGCAGCUGAAAUUUGGACAGAUCACUUCAACAGAACUGCCAAAAAUGGAAACCCAAUCUGCACAAAAUACAUGGAUUUAGCACUAUAAAUGAAAUAAUAUGGAUUUUUUAGAUGAAAAUUUGGGAGCGCACUAGGAAAGUUGAACAUUCCAUCUUGUGGAUUAAAAAUUAAAAAGCGAAUCAUUAUUAUUUCUUAUAUUUGUUUUUAUAUAAAUGAAUUCAAGCUAAAAUGAUAAUGAUUCAUGAGUAUAAUUUUGAUUGUGGAUUUGAGUGGAAUUUUUAAUAUUUGUGGCGAUUAUUUAGAAUAAGAAAUUACGAAUAUACGAAUUUAGAAAAAGUGAAAUACUUGUUUGUGUACUUAACAUAAGUCGUCUACUUGUGGAAAGCCUGAUUAAACAUAAUUUCA